UUAAAGACCUGGUAUUUAACUUGAGACAUUCAGGAAGGCGAGAUUAGAAAACUGCUUCACCGGAAGAUAGAAAACAAGGCUGACAGCUGCGACUCACAGGUUUACCGAAACUGCAGCCUAAAACAGCUCAGACUAAUGGUGUGACUGCUGGUAAAAGCUUGCGCCUACGUGGUCAGGAAGAUGCGGGCUUCUGUCGCUGACGGAGAGCAAGAAGAGAAGCCCAUCCGUACACCAUGUAGUGCAAAAGCUCAAAGCAAAUUGGAGAGAAAGUCGAUGGGGUCUUCCUCAACUGUUGCCCUGAACGCGGGACACGAUGAAAGUGUUGCCAAAGCAGCAGCAACAGGGACGUCCUCAGAGGCAGCUGUGCAGAGCUGUCGCUCCUGACGUUAAAGAUCUUGCUGGACGCUGGGACUGUGGUCAACUUAAUCUUCAAAGAUAAUUUAUAUAUUUGAAGUAUGAUAAAACACCUUAAGUUAGUGUUUCACUGUGAUUAGAUGACCACAUAAAUUAGAUGGUUGGUAUUUGUUUUUGACAAAAAUUCACAAACUGCACACUAAAAGUCAUAAUUUGAAUACUUUCUAGUUGUUCACGGUUUCCAGUGUCUAGCUCAGAAUGUCCCAUAAGAUGACCUUUCUCACAGCAGACAUUUUAAAAACAAGUGCAAUUAAUAACAUUAGUGCCCUUUUGUCGUCCUAUAGCACGACAGAAUUUAAUGGGGACAUUUGGGUUGGUUAGAACUGAAAGUGUGUGUGGUUAGUCAACAUGUUUACUGUGAGAAAGGCCUACAUUCAUGUACUGCAGCUUUUGAAGGCUGGCUCACCAACCUCUGCGCCCAGAGGCUGAGCAGGCCGGAUGUUUCUGCCGUUACCUAUGUAACCAUAAUUAUGUUAAAAAGCACUGUUUGGGUAAUAUUACCUGUUUAUUAUAUUCAUGUCAGAUUAGGUAAAAUGUGCACCAUUGAAUAAAGUAAAUACUGUAAUUGAACUAAUCUCAAAUUACAUAUUUGCGGAUGUUUUAAUAUAUAAAAUUGUUGUUAUGAAGUUGUUAUAAGGUUAUAUUUACAAGAAAUUUGGGACUGUAUUGUCAUACAUUGCAUUAUGCAGGUAAUUUCUUACAGCUAAUCUUGCAAAUAAAAGCAUACAAAGUC